GGCUUACUAGGUCACAAAAAAAUCCCCAAUCCUCGCGUCCACCACUCAUCCCCAUGACUCCAUCGACGUGCUCCCCCGGUUCCCCCGCCCCCGCCGCCGCACCGCACACCAUCCAGGUCCCCGCCGCCGUGCUGCCCCAUCCAGCCCCACAUCACCACACCACGCCCCCAUCCAAGCCGAGUCCGCCGUGGGCACAUCCCCAUCGAGGGGGCCUCACCUUCAUCCCCACCUGUGACGGCCGCCUCCAUCCACUGCUCCGGGAGGAACGCUACACAUGAAGUCGGAGCUCCGUCUGUUAACCCCGCCUGCUCCUCCUAGGCUAGGACGCCACUGUGGCUGAGGCAGACGACUCUACUCGGCCCUAUCUACAUCAACGUGCUUCGUAAACGAGAGACUAUAUACGAUAUGCUAAUGGUAAGGGGACCGGGUUAUAGCAGAAUGGAGGGUGGAGCAGCUAGAUUCUUUCCAGUCUGGUUAGAAAUACUUUGUACCUUGCAUUAAAUUACAUUUUUCUUGCUGAACUGAAAUUCAGUUACUUUCUUUUAGUGAACAGCUAUGCAUACAUUUCUACUUGGUUAAUUAUUGGUGCUAUUUGACUAUGUCGCUGUGACAGAAACCGGUAAUUACUGCACGGCUUGAGAUCAUCUUGUACCUGGUGGCGCAUGCAGAUGGUGCAGCAUUGCUGCAUGGAGGAUCUUUGGAUUUUUAUUUUUUUCCCUUCAGUUCUUAGUUUUCUGCUCCUGCUUCUAUCUGUGCUGUCAAAUUGCUUUCUAAAGAAUACAUUUCAGCACUAAGAUUCACAGGUAGUUGGUUCCAUGACAGAGUAUCCUAACACAUCCUAUUCUCCCCUAUCGGUUUUUAUAACCAAUUAUGCCUCUUCUACACUGUAAUGAGUGGUAGACCAUAAAUUAAAGAUCUGAGUUAAGACUGAAGAUUGCUAACACCCUAAUCAAAAUGGAGGAGAUGUUCUGUUAAUUGUUGCUUGCAUCUUCUUCUAUCGGUUGUGUUUUUUACAGAUUGUGUGAAUUGAAAAUCUAAUUCAGUUUUUGCUAGAGUGAAUAAGAUUUCAUAUUUUCCUUACGAGAGAGAGGAUAAGAUUCAGUUUGUUCCAAAAUAUAUUAAUCUCCUGGCAAUGCAACACAAAAUGACAAUCAUUUCUUCAAGUGCAUAAUAUUCUAAUGUUCUUUUUGUAGAACAUUAUUAUUAACUAUUUGUGAUAUCAUGCAUGAACUCCAGUACACGACCACCUCAAUUUUUUCAUCCUCUGCAACUGUGACCAGCUGUGUACUGGAGAGGCUGCAGAAUAUCAUGGAAGCAGUACAUGGAGCUGAUUGCACCAAGCACUCUGCCAUGGUCAUGAUCAGGACGAGAUGUAGGGCUAGCGACAGAGCAUGGAUGCAAAUUAUUGCUCUAUCCCAACAAUUGGUUGGAUCUCCCACUUGAUUGAAGGUAAUUCUCUGUCGUGGUUAUUUUAUGUCAAUGGUAAGUUUGUUUGGUACGGAAGAAAAAAAUGACGAUUAAGAGAUUCAUUAUAGUGUUGACUAAAUUAAGAAUCACAAAUAUAUCAUACUAAGAGUAUAUUUGCCUAUGUUGUUGUCAGGCAUUCAGAAGAAGCGGUAGCAAAGAUGUUUCCCUUCAUUCUUUUAUCUGUGCAGUGGUGUACACACACACACAAACACAUUAAGAGAUAUGCUCUCACAAAAGUUGUUUCAUGCCACCUCUUUGUCAUUUGGAAUUUCAUACUUGAUUGUAAUAUCAUUUGGCUUGUUGCUUCAUAAUGUGGUAUGUGAAACAAACUAUAAUAUCAUUUGGCUCUCAUAUAACUUUUUGUAUAAUUUUAGGUAUCAUGGCAAAGGACUGGGAUUGAUUUGUGUUGUCAAUGCACACAUUUGGUUAGUCAGCCACUAAGAUGUGUCUAUUGCCUCCCUGGCAGAGUUUGUAAGAACUGAGGCUCAUUCCGUUUCUAUUGAGUCAUGUGUAGCUAGCUAGUAUGUAGAUCCAUUCAUGUUGUGUUCUUGCCUCAUGAUGUUCUUAAUAAUACCAGAGAAUCUACAGCUUAUUAUGUUCACAUGAUAUUUUUGUAUGAUUCUAAUUUGUUUCUCUAA